rnacentral:rRNA from 1 species
GCUUAACACAUGCAAGUCGAACGGAGUGGCUCCGAAGACUGAAGAGCUUGCUCAGAUGGAAUCAUUGGAUCACUAGUGGCGACGGGUGAGUAACGCGUGGGUAACCUGCCUCACACUGGGGGAUAGCAGUUGGAAACGACUGAUAAUACCGCAUAAGCGCACAGAUAGGCAUCUAUCAGUGUGAAAAAACUCCGGUGGUGUGAGAUGGACCCGCGUCUGAUUAGCUAGUUGGUGAGGUAACGGCCCACCAAGGCGACGAUCAGUAGCCGGCCUGGGAGGGUGUACGGCCACAUUGGGACUGAGACACGGCCCAAACUCCUACGGGAGGCAGCAGUGGGGAAUAUUGGACAAUGGGGGCAACCCUGAUCCAGCGAACCGCCGCGUGAGCGAAGAAGUAUUUCGGUAUGUAAAGCUCUAUCAGCAGGGAAGAUAAUGACGGUACCUGACUAAGAAGCACCGGCUAAAUACGUGCCAGCCGCAGC